GAUAAACGCUGGCGGCGUGCAUGAGACAUGCAAGUCGAACGAACGAGCUUGCUCGUUAGUGGCGAACGGCUGAGUAACGCGUAGGUGACCUGCCCUGAAGUGGGGGAUAACGGCCCGAAAGGGUUGCUAAUACCGCAUGUGGCGACGUGUUCAUUCACGUCAUCAAAGCCGCGAGGCGCUUCAGGAGGGGCCUGCGUCCGAUUAGCUCGUUGGUGGGGUAACGGCUCACCAAGGCGACGAUCGGUAGGUGGUCUGAGAGGACGAUCACCCAGACUGGGACUGAGACACGGCCCAGACUCCUACGGGAGGCAGCAGUCGGGAAUUUGCUCAAUGGGGGAAACCCUGAAGCAGCAACGCCGCGUGCGGGAUGAAGGCCUUCGGGUUGUAAACCGCUUUUACCAGGGACGAUAAUGACGGUACCUGAUGAAUAAGUCACGGCUAACUACGUG
rnacentral:rRNA from 1 species